rnacentral:tRNA from 1 species
CGGUGCGUAGGCAACGGUUCCUUCGAUUCGAAUUCGAGUGGUCGUAGGUUCAAAUCCUACCGCCCGGCCC